rnacentral:misc_RNA from 1 species
ACUCAAAUGGGGAAGGGUCAAGUUCUUCUGGAACGUAACUGAGCUGAGAGGCGAUGGCAUGAACGACUGAUUUAGAUACCUGUAGUCAUGCGGUAACCGGUGGAUGCCUGAUGUGGGUCCCGUCACGGGUUCCGUGUUCGAGCUACGCGUUAGCAUCCGCCUGGGGAGUACGGCGCAAGGCUAAAACUCAAAGAAACUUGACGGGCGCCCGCACCAAGCGCGAGCAUGCGGAUUAUUCGAUGCAACGACGAAGAACCUUACCUUGGGCUUGACAUGUUCCCGACGAUCCCAGAGAUGGCGUUUCCCUUCGGGGCGGGUUCACAGGUGGUGCAUGGUCGUCGUCAGCUCGUGUCGUGAGAUGUUGGGUUAAGUCCCGCAACGAGCGCAACCCUCGCCCCGUGUUGCCAGCGGAUUGUGCCGGGAACUCACGGGGGACCGCCGGGGUUAACUCGGAGGAAGGUGGGGAUGACGUCAGAUCAUCAUGCCCCUUACGUCCAGGGCUUCACGCAUGCUACAAUGGCCGGUACAACGGGAUGCGACAGUGCGAGCUGGAGCGGAUCCCUGAAAACCGGUCUCAGUUCGGAUCGCAGUCUGCAACUCGACUGCGUGAAGGCGGAGUCGCUAGUAAUCGCGAAUCAGCAACGUCGCGGUGAAUGCGUUCCCGGGCCUUGUACACACCGCCCGUCAAGUCAUGAAAGUGGGCAGCACCCUAAGCCGGUGGCCUAACCCCUUGCGGGAGGGAGCCGUCUAAGGUGAGGCUCGUGAUUGGGACUAAGUCGUAACAAGGUAGCCGUACCGGAAGGUGCGGCUGGAUCACCUCCUUUCUACGGAGAAUACGGCCGGAUGUUCGUCCGGCGGUGCGUGCCCCGGCGUCGCGGCAGUCGCGGCGGUUUGGGGCUGCUGGUGUGGAAGAGAUCAUGGGCUUUCGGUUCGUCCGUCGUGGGAUGUUCCGCGGGAGUGGUGUGGAUGCGCUUUUGGGCUCCCGGAUCGCCACCCCAGGCUUUGGCCUGGCGCGAUUCGAUGCCCAUCGUGCCUGAUGGCGGGCUGGUCCCGUCCGGACGGCGUGGUGGUGCGUGGUGGCUUGAGAACUGGAUAGUGGACGCGAGCAAGACGGGGUUUCCUUUUGAUUCCUCGUUCUUGCUGUUGAUUUCGAAUCGAACUCUAUUUUUUUAGUGUUUGUUUCGAUCGUUUUGUGAUCAUUUUAGUGUGAUGAUUUGUCGUCUGGGAAUUUGCUAGGAAGGAUCCUUGCGGCCAUGCGCACCGUGUGGGCCUCU